UUGUAAUCUAUCUUCAACUAAUCCAAAUCCAAAUUGGAAACUUCAACAACAAAGGAAGAUUCAAAGAGUUAAAAUUCAAAUUGAACACUUCAACCUUCAAAGGCUUGAUUCAUUGAAUGGUCAAAUGGAUAAGGUUUUCAAUUCAAGUUGUAUACUCAACUUGUGCAAGCUGGCAAUUAACAAAGACAGCAGCCAUGAAAUGUUCUGGAAUCUGAAAAUAAACAUCAGGCAGCCAGCAUUCAUAUUCUGUCCAGCAAAACACAGCUGUAAUUGAAGAGAUAAUAGCUGCAAAUGGAGAAGAAAAAUAGCCUUUAUCUAGUUGUAAUUGUAGAAAAUUCUUAGGACUAGUUUACUCAAUGUCUUCUAUAAAUAGGAAGGCAUCCAACUAGUAUCAUGUAUGUAGAAGAAGUGAGAAAAAACCUCUCAAAAAAUAGAGAGAAAGAGUGUGCUGUAGCAACUCAUUUGUAAUCCUGAAAUUUCAUUAGUAAAAUCUCAUAUUUCUCCAAUCUCUAUCCUUCUACAUCCAACAGUUCCUUCAAUUUGAUUAUUUGAGAUUUAGCAUGCUGAUUGUUUCUUGGACAUAACACUUUAAGAACGUUAUAUCUAUUAGUCUGUUGACAAAUCAAGACUCGCAAGUCACCGUACUCUCAUCAGCAUUGCCAGCUGCUAGAAGUUCCAUAUACAUAUUUUUAGUCGGAUUGCAUAAAACGGUUGGGUUAUUAUGGGAGGCACAGACAAACGAAGGAAGCCAUUAAACAAAUCUGCUGUAAUGAUCAUGUGAUUCUUGGUAUCCAGGUUAAUGUUUAGCUUACUCUUAGUAUUUCUGUUAUAGAAACAAUUGCUUGGGCAUCAACGUUGUGCAAAGGAAUCUUCAAUUUGGUAUCAAGCAUCAGAUUCAAUCACAUUGUUUAUAGAUGGUUUGAUAAAGUCAAGCAUUCUUGAAAUUCAUCCAACGUCCAAGGUUUGGACUAGAAUGCUUAUUUUUGAAUGUGCAAAGUGAUGCUUGGCAAAGUAAGGGCUAGAAAUUAGUUUGUGCCAAGUUUUGCACACAUACUUGCACGUUACAAUCCCUUUAAUGGACAGAUAUAGCAGAAUUUCUAUAAUGAUGAACUCCAGCAAAUCUAUUAUGGGUGUUCUUGUUAUGCCGAUUAUUAGGUGAAAUUAGACAAGCAACAGAAAGUAGAACUGUUAGCAACAAUAGACUGCUAUUUUACAGCACAAAGUAAAAACAUGUGGAAGUCUACUUUUAAAUCUAUGCAAAUAUAGGAAACUAAAGGAAAACACAUGUAUUUGCUAUAAGUAAAGAAGAAAAUGGACUUGUUUAUUUAAAAAAAAAGGAUGAAAUGGAAAUGAUACAUAAACUUGAAACUUUCAUCUGAAGUUUAAGUUUUAUUUUCCUUCUCCUUACCUUGUGUUUUUUCCCCUUGUAACCAAGAACCAAAUGAAAGUUUUCCUGAAUAUUUUCCUUCCCUUUCAUCACCAAAAUGAUAAGAAAGAACAGGGCCUUGGGUUGAUUUCAAAUAAUAUACUUCGAAAAAAACAAGGAAUAAAGUUUUCCUUGAGGCCUAGUUUUCAUUCACAACUCAAAUAAAGAAUAAUAAUGAAUUAAAAGUAACUGGAUAUUCGAUUACAGAAAAACAGAAAAAAGUAACCAUUUUGCUAAGUGGAAAUGCAAGGGCAAGAAAAACUCCAAAGGUGAAAAUAGAGGAUUUCAUAUCUUCUUUUAAUUUUUUGAUUCGCGACAAAUUCUACAAAAAUACCUAACAAUUACCGUAUUCAAGAAUAGAACACUCACUUUAAACUCCAAAUAAAUAUGCAAAUUUAGGGAAGGAUACGCCAAAAUGAUAUGAGAGCUAAAAGAAUAAUAUUUAGAUACAUGAUCUUGGAAUACAACUCAAAACCAACAGGAAGGAAAAAUCUCACUGACAAGCUCUCCGUUCCCACGGCAAAAGAUCACAAAUGAGCUUUCGGAUCUUGAUCUUAUCCAUGCAGAUUGCACUUGCUAUCCAAAUUUCACAACAAUAAAAAGAUAUAUCCAUUUGAUCAUAAAAUGACGAGCUUCUUGAGAAAGUGAAUAAGCUUCACUAUUUCGAAAUCAAGAGGGAAGAGAAGAAAAAACAUUUGUGUAACACCAAUAAUUCCAAAUUCUUGCAACAUUUCGUUGGUUCAUUGCUAUUUUUUCGUCAAUCUGUUUUCAAUAUUUUUUCCUCAAUAAAUCGAUUUCUCGAUGUUCUAGUCUGUAUUGUGAAAGUGGACAAGGAUGUCAAGGAUGCCUAGGUUGAUACAACUGACUUAUUGGUCGACUUAAGUCUCUUAAUACAAAAUGAGGACAUGCGUGCAUGGUUGUACAGAGUGCGUGCAAGCGUAUCCGUAAGGAAAAAGAAUUGAAAGGCC
rnacentral:lncRNA from 1 species